CUACGGGUUGCUCCAGUGGGGAAUAUUGCACAAUGGAGGAAACUCUGAUGCAGCAACGCCGCGUGGAGGAUGACACUUUUCGGAGCGUAAACUCCUUUUAUAUAGGAAGAAGAUGACGGUACUAUAUGAAUAAGCGCCGGCUAACUCCGUGCCAGCAGCCGCGGUAAUACGGAGGGCGCAAGCGUUACUCGGAAUCACUGGGCGUAAAGAGCGUGUAGGCGGAUUAAAAAGUCAGAAGUGAAAUCCUAUAGCUUAACUAUAGAACUGCUUCUGAAACUCUUAAUCUAGAAUGUGGGAGAGGUAGAUGGAAUUUCUGGUGUAGGGGUAAAAUCCGUAGAGAUCAGAAGGAAUACCGAUUGCGAAGGCGAUCUACUAGAACAUUAUUGACGCUGAGACGCGAAAGCGUGGGGAGCAAACAGGAUUAGAUACCCGGGUAGUC
rnacentral:rRNA from 1 species